CCGUUUAUUCUACGCGUCAUUUUGUUCCGGGCAAGCUAUUUGAACUACUCUCUCAGUGUAUGAACAACGUUUAACUGGGUGAACCUUAAAGCGGCCAUUACUACCAUCCCUUGUGUUCAUAGACUCGUAAUUAACCUCAUUAGGGUUUGAUGGGGUGGAUUAUUCAUAUAAUUAAUUUCGUACCAGCUAUAGCCUGUCCACUGUGUAUUAAAUUUGUCUGGACUUUCAGGGUUUUGCCUGCGAAGUAAAAUAGCUUGCGUCUCUGUGUGUACCCUGUAUGCUUAUUUCCAUCGCUUUUUCAAGAGGCUUUCUUCUAAAUGAAAUUGGCAAUGGCGGAUAUGAUAGAAGAGCAAGGAAAUAUCGGAAGUGUGAAGGCAAUUUCUAUUUUUUUACUUCUUGCGUCUCUGUGUGUACACUGUUUGCUUAUUUCCAUCGCUUGUUCAGGCGGCUUUCUUCUAAAUGAAUUUGGCAAUGGCGGAUAUGAUAGAAGAGCAAGGAAAUAUCGGAAGUGUGAAGGCAAUUUCUAUUUUUAUGCUUCAUGCGCUAGUUUGCCCUUUCACUAUUACUCAAUGGAUGCUAACCUUAAUGGCUUUUACCAGUGGCAUUGUGUUAUUUCAUUUAACUAAGAAGGGGCCAGCCUUCAAGCAAUCAGUACUACCAUUUUCAAGCUGUUUCACCGCAUUGCUACCUAUUGCAAUGCAAACCCUUCCAUUUUAUUGCAAUGGAUGUUAACCUCCAUUCCUUUUACCAUCGAUGUUGGCGAAAUUUGGGAGCUUAAGUAAAUGUCGCUUUCCAAGAACCCAUCAUAGAAAGGGCCACAAUUGCGACAUUUAACGCUUUGGUGAUACUGUAAAGAGCAGAAAUUUUGAUAAAGCAUGACCAGCAGAAAUUUUGAUAAAGCAUGACCGGCACAGCGUACAUGAGUUACAGGUUACUUUAUCUUGUAAGGCAAAUUGGCCUAGGUACCUUACCAUAUGAAGAAAACUGGUCCAAUUUCUGUAUUGCAUUGCUCACAUGAACACAUCAUAGAAAGGGCCACAAUUGUGACAUUUUUCAAUGUUGUUAACACUGUGGUGAUACUGUUAAGAGCAGAAACUCUGAUAAAGCAUGACUGGCACAGCGUACAUGAGUGACAGGAAAAAUAUUAAGAAACCCUACCAAAGCAGAAUUUUUAAAAAAUGAGAUGGAACAAAAUCAGUCUCCCUACAGCUGCUGCUUCAAUCUUUUCACAAUAAAUGAAAAUAUCGGGGUUUUAGAGCUACUAGAUUCUUGAGCUCGAGACAAGAUUUUUGCAGCCUUUUAAGUUAAAAUAUUACCUGGUAAUUGGUGCAAUGCAGGUGUAUAUGUAUGCAUAUACCUAUACGUAUACCACGAGCAGUCUAGAAUGAAUAUACAUCUUAUACAUUGCCUUGUAAUUGGUGUAUAUGUGUGCAUAUAUACCUAUACAUAUACAUCAUAUAUAUAGCUAUAAAUUCUCUGUAUAUAAUCUUUUAGAAUUUAUAGUAUGCCAAAAAUUCUCUUCAUUUGAUAUGGCUAUAAAGAAAUUGAAGUUUAUUAUUAAAAAAAAUCAUACACAGCCAUAUGCUUCUCAAAUUAAAGCCCAUGAAUAGCUGAUGCACAGGGGCCCAAAUAGGUGUUGGUGUGAUUGUGGCUAUAUGCAUGUGUCUAAUGUUUUACACAUGAAUGAAUGUGCAUGGAUACACAUGCCAAAUAUUCUUGUAUAUGGAUAUGUUGGCUAAACUUGAUGGCUGUUGUAUUUAUGCAUUUUUGCCCUAAAAUAUAAUAAUUUCUUUUGGAAGACUGUAUCAAAUGUAUAAAGAGAUUUUUGGCAGACUUCAAAAUUAUCAAAAAUUUUAAUUCUGUAAAUAUAUCUAGUGUAUAAUGUUCUCUUCUUUAAUCACGGUAUUCCUUAGCAUCCAAAGGACAAAUUGUAUUAGAUAAGGCUUAAAAGCAAUAAAGUGCAUGCUCUGCAUUUCUGUAGCGCUUAGUAUUUGGUGAAUGAACUGAUUCCCACCCAUCGACAAUCAGCCAUUGCUACUUCUGAUAAGCACAACUUUCACAAUAACUUAGGGGAAGGGUACCAGUAGCCGUUAUAGCUAACUUCAUGCACACUAAGCUUCGCAAACAGCACAUCAGUCUUUGACAAUUCUUUUUGUUUUUUUUCAUGUGACUUAAAAGCUUAUAGCUAUUGUUUUGGCUUUUGGGUAGUUAUGAUGAUCACAGGAGGAUUUGUUAUGCGCGCAAGGGUCAAAAGUGGCCAUUUUGAGGUGAUGUUAGAUACAUGUUCUCUAUUGCCUCAUCAACUUUUCACUUUGACCACCACACAACUGAUCCAAUAAUUAUGCACAAAUGGCCCAGUAAUCGUUUGCUAUGGGUACCAAUUAGGUUGCACAAUUCCUCUGAUUAGUAACUUUUUUUUCAACUAUUGGGUAUACCAGUGGACAGCUAUUGGCCCAGUAGAUGAUUUUUUAAUGGGUUUUAUUUAGCAUGUUUCAAUGCAUGGUUAUUGGAACAUUGGCGGUAACUGGGUCCCUUUCCCUAUGCACAAAAUUUAUUAAGGAAAAAAUUUUGUGGAAAUUCUCACUUGAUGAUUAGAAAAUGUGAAAUUUUUACUCUGAAGUUUAGAUUGUAUGGAUGGGAUUUGCAGUUCGCUGUAAUUUUCUACUGCAUCAUGUUUGAGGUACGUGUGUCUCUGCUAACAACUGAGAUCUAUUCAGAUUCAUGUUCAUUGAUCCUUGAUCAUUGACAAAUAUUCUGAUGAAAUAUCUAUAAUGAAUGUCUGGUUCUCUGCGUGCUAUUCCUUCUGAAAAUUUUGUUUCUCCUCAAUAAAUUGAAUACUUCAUUUAAAUUGUGCUUUGAAUAGUUUCCUGAAAGGUAGCUUUCUGAAAGGAAGCUUUUGUUUGGACACUGUCAUAGCGAGCCUAACACCCUCAUCAUGCUAUCAUAUU